rnacentral:rRNA from 1 species
CAGUAGCCGCGGGAACACGGAGGGUGCAAGCGUUAUCCGGAUUUAUUGGGUUUAAAGGGUCCGUAGGCGGACUUAUAAGUCAGUGGUGAAAGCCUGUCGCUUAACGAUAGAACUGCCAUUGAUACUGUAAGUCUUGAGUAUAUUUGAGGUAGCUGGAAUAAGUAGUGUAGCGGUGAAAUGCAUAGAUAUUACUUAGAACACCAAUUGCGAAGGCAGGUUACCAAGAUAUAACUGACGCUGAGGGACGAAAGCGUGGGUAGCGAACAGGAUUAGAUACCCGCGUAGUCCCUGUCUCUUAUAC